GCCUAGGAAUCUGCCUGGUAGUGGGGGAUAACGUCCGGAAACGGACGCUAAUACCGCAUACGUCCUACGGGAGAAAGCAGGGGACCUUCGGGCCUUGCGCUAUCAGAUGAGCCUAGGUCGGAUUAGCUAGUUGGUGGGGUAAUGGCUCACCAAGGCGACGAUCCGUAACUGGUCUGAGAGGAUGAUCAGUCACACUGGAACUGAGACACGGUCCAGACUCCUACGGGAGGCAGCAGUGGGGAAUAUUGGACAAUGGGCGAAAGCCUGAUCCAGCCAUGCCGCGUGUGUGAAGAAGGUCUUCGGAUUGUAAAGCACUUUAAGUUGGGAGGAAGGGCAGUAAAUUAAUACUUUGCUGUUUUGACGUUACCGACAGAAUAAGCACCGGCUAACUCUGUGCCAGCAGCCGCGGUAAUACAGAGGGUGCAAGCGUUAAUCGGAAUUAAUGGGCGUAAAGCGCGCGUAGGUGGUUCGUUAAGUUGGAUGUGAAAUCCCCGGGCUCAACCUGGGAACUGCAUUCAAAACUGACGAGCUAGAGUAUGGUAGAGGGUGGUGGAAUUUCCUGUGUAGCGGUGAAAUGCGUAGAUAUAGGAAGGAACACCAGUGGCGAAGGCGACCACCUGGACUGAUACUGACACUGAGGUGCGAAAGCGUGGGGAGCAAAC
rnacentral:rRNA from 1 species